rnacentral:rRNA from 1 species
GCCUGCUAGCCGCAGUAUUUUGACUGUGCUAAGGUAGCAUAAUCAUUAGUCUCUUGAUUAGAGGCUGGUAUGAAUGGCGUGACGAGAAAGUAGCUGUCUUUGAAUUUCAUCUCUUAGUGAAAAAGCUAGGAUUAAUUUGAAGGACGAUCAGACCCUUUGGAGUUUUUUCGUUGGGGCGACGAUAAUUGAUCCUUAAAGUAAGAUUAAAAGACUAAGUUACCCUAGGGAUAACAGCGUAAUCUUUUUAGAGAGUUCAAAUCGAUAAAAAGGUUUGCGACCUCGAUGUUGGAUUAAGAAAUUAGCAAGGUGCAGAAGUUUUGCUGGAAAGUCUGUUCGACUUUUAAUUUCUU